UACGUAGGUGACAAGCGUUGUCCGGAUUUACUGGGCGUAAAGAGCGCGCAGGCGGUCGAUCAAGUCGAGUGUGAAAGCCCCCGGCUCAACUGGGGAGGGUCACGCGAUACUGUUCGACUUGAAGGCAGGAGAGGGAAGUGGAAUUCCCGGUGUAGUGGUGAAAUGCGUAGAUAUCGGGAGGAACACCAGUGGCGAAGGCGACUUCCUGGCCUGUUCUUGACGCUGAGGCGCGAAAGCUAGGGUAGCAAACGGG
rnacentral:rRNA from 1 species